UUGCUCAAGUUAAUGACGGAGCCUGUAAGCUAGCGUUUCCGCGCACUCUGCCCUGGAUAUAUAAAGUUUGUGCAGAGAUGACCCAACGAACCAUCACCUUUUAGUAGAUAAGGAGGCUGUUUUUCUUUUCUUGCACUAGGUGCUCUAUACAGUCAAAUAGCUAGUGGAUUGCUUGGUUCUGCAGUUGUUGCUAGGUGCAGAGUUGUUGAUGCUUUUUCUGUAUAUUAUUGUUGUGAGCUGUACAAGUCCAGUCCUUGUUGACGGUCACACGGUAUCUGUAACUCCAGUGAUGAUAUAGUGCUCUGCGUCUUUUCACAAAUUUGUAUUAUCUGACUCUCCUAAGCUGUGCUACAGGGCUAUUACCGCACCUGACUCGAGUUUGAGCUUCCUUACCCUCUGCUCUACUUGCACCAUUUGAAGUCUUUUUGCAGCUGUUAUAAGUAAAUGUAAACGAGAGAUGGGUUAGAGCAAAUGAGUCAAUCAGUUAUCUUUAUUGAUGGGAAUGAAUCCUUAUAUACAACAUGGAUGGACUCGUGGGAUUACACAUGCGGGACAGCGGGGAUUUAUCCCCUAAUAACACUGGGUUAUUAUUCUUAACAGCAACUGAAAGUUACGGCUGGGAAGUCUCGGUUCAAAAGUAUGCUAGUAACAUGUUUUGCCUAGGAUUUUAAGCUCGUUAAAUGCCAUGGUUUGAUGAUCCGUGCGGGUGAUGGUAGUGAAGUUUUGUUUAGGGUUGCCCUUACUACUUCGCACUUUGAUAAUUUGCCACUGCUUACAUUGGAUUUGAUAAUUUACAACAUCUUAUUUUGGACUUUGAUUGUUUGCCUUACCCACGAGGAAAGACAAAUGGAAUUGCACAAACCACCACUUAUUGGGGUAUCGUUGUGCAAAACACCUACUAUACGGGUUUGUUGCGGAAAACACCAUCUAUUGAUGUAAUACAUUGCAGAUAUGUCUAAUCUAGUGUUUGAACAUAUUAACAUAAUUACAGACACAUGGGUCCUGCUUGUAAGUGCCCGCGUGGCAAUAAAAACCGGCCACAUCAGCUACAUAUUAGACCAAGAAGUGAAAAGACCAGAGUAACAAAAAAAAAA
rnacentral:lncRNA from 1 species